GAGAGUUAUGUCCCUUGACACACAAUAUCUAUACACGUUCGAGUUAUUGAUAUAACUUCUCUCUUACAAAUGAUACGUUGAAAUAUCAGGUUUGAUAAAUAGCAAACCUACUCCCCCACCCUUUUUUGGGGAGGAAUUCUGGUUUAAGUACCCCAUAUAAAACCCUCACAACUUUAUUAUUAUUAUUUGGAACUUUCGGAAAACUUUUGCUAAUUUGGCAUUGCCCAAACGUGAAGACUGGAAUUUGGUAACAAUCAGAAUAUUUUUUUUCUUAUAUUAUAUUUCGUAUUAAACGCUUGAAAAGAUGAAAGGCAAAGUGGACCUCGGCGGAAUUUGAACUCAGAUCGUGAAGCCAGUCGAAAUACCGGAACAGCUUGAUGUAUUGGUGAACAGUCAACGGCGUUGGAGAGCAUGAAGAUUAAAGCUGUAGUUGAGAAAAUGUUUACUGACAUGGAAGAGUGGAAGCUAUCUGAAUAUUGGAAAAGAGUUACCUGUAUCAUGAUGAUUUGUUCCAGGUAUAAAAAUACCGACAUCAUGAUCACUGCUCAAUGCUCUGUGGACACUAUAAAGGCUGUAAGAGGUGACAAGGACAACUGCAAUCUUGGCCUGCUAUCUGGCUAUGUAUAUGCUUAUGUAUAUAAGCUGCUUUAGAAUCAAAAUUAGAAUUUAGAAUCAAAAUGCCUUUACCUUUUCUUUAAUUUAUUUACCGUGGAGGCGCAAUGGCCCAGUGGUUAGGGCAGGUCCCGGAGCCGUCUUGAAGUCAUGGUGUGUAGUGAAGGCGCAAUGGCCAGUGGUUAGGGCAGCGGACUCGUGGUCAUAGGAUCGCGGUUUCGAUUCCCAGAUCGGGCGUUGUGAGUGUUUAUUGAGCGAAAACACCUAAAGCUCCACGAGGCUCCGGCAGGGGAUGGUGGCGAACCCUGCUGUACUCUUUCACCACAACUUUCUCUCACUCUUACUUCUUGUUUCUGUUGUACCUGUAAUUCAAAGGGUCAGCCUUGUCACACUGUGUCACGCUGAAUAUUCCCCGAGAACUACGUUAAGGGUACACGUGUCUGUGGAGUGCUCAGCCACUUGCACGUUAAUUUCACGAGCAGGCUGUUCCGUUGAUCGGAUCAACUGGAACCCUCGUCGUCGUAACCGACGGAGUGCCAGAAGAAGACGAAUGUAUGUGUGUGUAUGUAUGUAUAUAUGUAUAUUUACGUAUGUAUGUAUUUAUGUACAUACGUGUGCAUAUAUGUAUGUAUGUAUGUAUGUAUGUAUGUAUGUAUGUAUGUAUGUAUGUAUGUGUGCACGUAUGUAUGUAUGUAUGUACAUGAUUCUCGUACUCAGAGACUCGAACCACACGUACCCUUCUAACCGAUUUCCUCAGUUCAAUAAACAUCUCUCAAAUCUUACUCUUCCUCAUCAGACGUCAUCACACCUUUCGCUUUCGAUCAAGUUGCUCGGCUGCUUCCUUCCGCUUGUCUGACAUCUUCGGCGCACAACCAACUAUGCCGCAGGCAUAAAGGAAAAUAACUCAACCGGUGUUAUAACUUUGACAGAAUAUUUCUGCUUUGGGAUACUGGUACUCGUCCCACGCUGAUAUAUUAGGUAGAUCUAACCUAAUACAUUUUACAUCUCCAGGAAAUGUCAUUAUUGGCAACUUCGACGAAACUAAAUAAAUAGGAUAGUUCUAUCAAGUAACUUGAUGUAUCUUUGGAAGUGUUUGGACUUGGCAUUAUAUUGACAGAUUCACAACAAUAACUUACAAUAGGCCAUCACCUUUCCCAUCCCCGGUUUUACGGCUAGCGUAAAAUCGUUAUUAUCACUAAACUAUGUCUACCAAAGUUAUUUUUCUUUCAUAAACAGAGCAGCUGUUAUUAAGGAGAGAGAGAAAGAGAGGAGACAGUACUGAGAUACUAAACAGUUGUAAAGGAACGACACUCUAACAAGGUUUGCUGGUUCCUACAAUGUUGAACGGCUGAGCGAACCUAUUUCUACGACGACGACGACGACCACCAGCACCACUUCUACUACUACUACUACUACUACUACUACUACAACUACUGCUAAUACCACCACGACCACCUCUACUACUACCAUUACUACUACUACCACUACUACUACAACUACUACUAUUGCUGCUGCUGCUACUACUACUACUACUACUACUACCACCACCACCACCACCACAUUACUGCUGCUGCUAUUACUACUACUACCACCUCUACUACUACUACUACUACUACUACUACUACAUUACUACUACUACAUUACUACUAUUACUACUACCAUUACUACUACCACUACUACUACUACUACUACUAUUGCUGCUGCUGCUACUACUACUACUACCACCACAACCACCACCACCACCACCACAUUACUGCUGCUGCUAUUACUACUACUACCAUCUCUACUACUACUACUACUACCACCUCUACUACUACUACUACUACCACCUCUACUACUACUACCUUACUCCUCCUCCUCUUACUACUACUACUACUUAUGACUAUACCGUCAUUAACCUGGCCUCCAUCUCACAAUAACCAUCUCUAUCGUCUCUGCAAUUGUUACCCCAGUCAUUAUUCUUGACGCUGACACUUAUACCACAACACCACAUCACCCCUCCCUAUCACCACCACCGCCGCCACCACGAAGAUGUUUUAAGUAAUAACAAAAAUUAAUGGAAGUGAAGCAAACUGUGCAAAAAAAAAAAGGGGGCUGUGUGCAAGUUGCUUACCUCUGUCGUUGUUGGACCUGUUUUUGGUGAAUGUGCAAACUUGAUAACCAUAAAGCUAGACACGUUGUUUGUAACAAACGACACGAUACAGGACACACAGCGAUCGGAUAAUCCUUGAGCAGAGACCAAUUAAAAAUGUUAUGCAAGAACAACAGCGUGUUGUGUUUAUUGUGGGUUAACACUUUGGAAAUGACUGUACAGAAAAUGUCUUCUCGUUAAUGAUGACGAACAACAAGGACAAUACAAGAACAAUAACUUGAUCAAAUAAGACAACGCAGGUGUUGUUAAAGCUAGAACAGCAGCAGUAGCAGCAGCAACAGUAGCAGCAGCAACAGUAGCAGCAACAACAAUCAUCCGAAGUUGUGAACGGAAGAUGACUUUUAAAUAACACAACAAGAAAGGUUGACAACGGUAACAUUGAAUAAUGAACAAUAUAUGUCUAAUCCUGAUUUAAAGAACAACAAAAGUGAAAGCAACGGCAGAUAUUCACACACAAAACAUUAUCAAAGCAUGUCAACAAGAGCAGACGACACAGAAUUAAGGGUGAACGUGGACUCCUUUUACCCGGAUCUCAUUUCGAAAAAUGAUGAAGUUGUUGCUGAACUUUAUUCUUUCGAGGAUUUUCCAACUCCAAUGAAUAUGUUUUCUCGAGGCGUUCAGAACAACCAAAAGAGUAUUCAGGCCAAAGAUGCGCUCAUCCAAGAAUUUUGUGUUGAACUUAUCAACAUGUCUCUUCACCCAAGUGAAUACAAUAUCAAGGUCU